rnacentral:rRNA from 1 species
UACAGAGGUCCCAAGCGUUGUUCGGAUUCACUGGGCGUAAAGGGCUCGUAGGCGGCUCAGUAAGUCGGGUGUGAAACCUCCAGGCUCAACCUGGAGACGCCACUCGAUACUGCUGUGGCUAGAGUCCGGUAGGGGAGCAUGGAAUUCCUGGUGUAGCGGUGAAAUGCGCAGAUAUCAGGAGGAACACCAGUGGCGAAGGCGGUGCUCUGGGCCGGAACUGACGCUGAUGAGCGAAAGCGUGGGGAGCGAACCGG